rnacentral:rRNA from 1 species
AGUGAACGCUGGCGGUAGGCCUAACACAUGCAAGUCGAACGGCAGCACAGUAAGAGCUUGCUCUUACGGGUGGCGAGUGACGGACGGGUGAGGAAUACAUCGGAAUCUACUUUUUCGUGGGGGAUAACGUAGGGAAACUUACGCUAAUACCGCAUACGACCUACGGGUGAAAUCAGGGGAUCUUCGGACCUUGCCCGAUUGAAUGAGCCGAUGUGGGAUUAGCUAGUUGGCGGGGUAAAGGCCCACCAAGCCGACGAUCCGUAGCUGGUCUGAGAGGAUGAUCGGCACCACUGGAACUGAGACACGGUCCAGACUCCUACGGGAGGCAGAGGUGGGGAAUAUUGGACAAUGGGCGCAAGCCUGAUCCAGCCAUACCGCGUGGGUGAAGAAGGCCUUCGGGUUGUAAAGCCCUUUUGUUGGGAAAGAAAAGCAGCAGGUUAAUACCCCGCUGUUCUGACGGUACCCAAAGAAUAAGCACCGGCUAACUUCGUG